GAUGAACGCUGGCGGCGUGCUUAACACAUGCAAGUCGAACGGAAAGGCCCAAGCUUGCUUGGGUACUCGAGUGGCGAACGGGUGAGUAACACGUGGGUGAUCUGCCCUGCACUUCGGGAUAAGCCUGGGAAACUGGGUCUAAUACCGGAUAGGACCACAUUUUGGAUGGUGUGGUGGAAAGUUUUUCGGUGUGGGAUGAGCUCGCGGCCUAUCAGCUUGUUGGUGGGGUAAUGGCCUACCAAGGCGUCGACGGGUAGCCGGCCUGAGAGGGUGUACGGCCACAUUGGGACUGAGAUACGGCCCAGACUCCUACGGGAGGCAGCAGUGGGGAAUAUUGCACAAUGGGCGCAAGCCUGAUGCAGCGACGCCGCGUGGGGGAUGACGGCCUUCGGGUUGUAAACUCCUUUCGCUAGGGACGAAGCGUUAUGUGACGGUACCUGGAGAAGGAGCACCGGCUAACUACGUG
rnacentral:rRNA from 1 species